UACUUGUACCGACUGGAUGAGCAGCGAACGGGUGAGUAACGCGUGGGGAAUCUGCCUUUGAGCGGGGGACAACAUUUGGAAACGAAUGCUAAUACCGCAUAAAAACUUUAAACACAAGUUUUAAGUUUGAAAGAUGCAAUUGCAUCACUCAAAGAUGAUCCCGCGUUGUAUUAGCUAGUUGGUGAGGUAAAGGCUCACCAAGGCGAUGAUACAUAGCCGACCUGAGAGGGUGAUCGGCCACAUUGGGACUGAGACACGGCCCAAACUCCUACGGGAGGCAGCAGUAGGGAAUCUUCGGCAAUGGACGAAAGUCUGACCGAGCAACGCCGCGUGAGUGAAGAAGGUUUUCGGAUCGUAAAACUCUGUUGGUAGAGAAGAACGUUGGUGAGAGUGGAAAGCUCAUCAAGUGACGGUAACUACCCAGAAAGGGACGGCUAACUACGUGCCAGCAGCCGCGGUAAUACGUAGGUCCCGAGCGUUGUCCGGAUUUAUUGGGCGUAAAGCGAGCGCAGGUGGUUUAUUAAGUCUGGUGUAAAAGGCAGUGGCUCAACCAUUGUAUGCAUUGGAAACUGGUAGACUUGAGUGCAGGAGAGGAGAGUGGAAUUCCAUGUGUAGCGGUG
rnacentral:rRNA from 1 species